rnacentral:SRP_RNA from 1 species
GCCGGGCAUGGUGGCACAUGCCUGUAAUCCCAGCUACUUGGGAGGCUGAGGCAGGAGAAUUGCUUGAAUCCAGGAGGCAAAGGUUGCAGUGAGCCAAGAUCACGCCACUGCACUCCAGCCUGGGUGACAGAGCGAGAUUCCGUCUCAA